GACGAACGCUGGCGGCGUGCUUAACACAUGCAAGUCGAACGGAGUGGCGAACGGGUGAGUAAAACGUAGGUGCUCUGCCUUGCACUUCGGGAUAAGCUUGGGAAACUGGGUCUAAUACCGGCUAGUGCAAGAUGAGGUGGCGGCCUAUUGGCUUGUUGGUGGGGUAAUGGCCUACCAAGGGGUCGAAGGGUAGCCGGCCUGGGAGGGGGUACGGCCACAUUGGGCCUGAGAUACGGCCCAGACGGCUACGUGAGGCAGCAGUGGAGAAUAUUGCACAAUGGGCGGGAGCCUGAUGCAGCGACGCCGGGUGCGGGAUGAAGGCUUUCGGGUUGUAAACUCCUUUCUACAGGGACGCGGUACCUGUAUAAGAAGCACCGGCUAACUACGUGCCAGCAGCCGCGGUAAUUC
rnacentral:rRNA from 1 species